UGAUUUCCUUGGCGGGCGGAAGCGGCCAGAACCAGACGAUUCCAAAGUUUACCAGGGGCUCUGGGCGCUCGCUGCUUCGCUCGGGACGGCUGGCCGCCUCCUGUGUGCUUCCACCCGGCCCCGCCCCCCCCCGGCUCUCCACCCCUCUGCCCCUCAGGUUCCUUUUGUAAUUUUGUAGAAACUUCCAGGAGGACUAUGAAAGAUUAUGAUGAACUUCUCAAAUACUAUGAAUUAUAUGAAACUGUUGGGACAGGUGGCUUUGCAAAGGUCAAACUUGCCUGCCAUAUCCUCACUGGAGAAAUGGUAGCUAUAAAAAUCAUGGAUAAAAAUGCACUAGGGAGUGAUUUGCCCCGGAUCAAAACGGAGAUUGAGGCCUUGAAGAACUUGAGACAUCAGCAUAUAUGUCAACUCUACCAUGUGCUGGAGACAGCCAACAAAAUAUUCAUGGUUCUUGAGUAUUGCCCCGGAGGAGAGCUGUUUGACUACAUAAUUUCCCAGGAUCGCCUAUCCGAGGAGGAGACCCGAGUUGUCUUCCGUCAGAUAGUAUCUGCAGUUGCUUACGUGCACAGCCAGGGUUAUGCUCACAGGGACCUCAAACCGGAAAAUUUGUUGUUUGAUGAAUAUCAUAAGUUAAAACUGAUUGACUUUGGUCUCUGUGCAAAACCCAAGGGUAACAAGGAUUACCAUCUUCAGACAUGUUGUGGGAGUCUUGCUUAUGCAGCCCCUGAAUUAAUACAAGGCAAAUCAUACCUGGGAUCGGAGGCAGAUGUUUGGAGUAUGGGCAUACUCUUAUAUGUACUUAUGUGUGGCUUUCUACCAUUCGAUGAUGAUAAUGUCAUGGCUUUGUACAAGAAGAUUACGCGAGGGAAAUAUGAGGUUCCUAAGUGGCUCUCUUCUAGUAGCGUUCUGCUUCUUCAACAGAUGCUACAGGUGGACCCAAAGAAACGGAUUUCUGUGAAAAAUCUAUUGAGCCAUCCUUGGAUCAUGCAUGAUUACAACUGUCCUGUUGAGUGGCAAAGCAAGAAUUCUCUUAUUCACCUUGAUGAAGAUUGUGUAACAGAACUAGCUGUACAUCACAGAAAUAACAGGCAAACAAUGGAGGAUUUAAUUUCAUUGUGGCAGUAUGAUCACCUCACAGCUACCUAUCUUCUGCUGCUAGCCAAGAAGGCUCGGGGAAAACCAGUUCGUUUAAGGCUUCCUUCUUUUUCCUGUGGACAAGCCAGUGAUACCCCGUUCACAAACACCAAGUCAAAGAAUCUGAGUCUAGAAGAUAUGACAACAAGUGAUGAAAAUGAUGUGGCUGGAUUGAUAGACUAUGACUGGUGUGGAGACAGUUCAUCAAUAGGUGUGACCACCCCACAAACACCACAGUUUGCCAAGCAUUGGACAGAAUCAAAUGGUCUGGAAUCUAAAUCAUUAACUCCAGUAUUAUGCAGAACAUCUGCCAAUAAAUUAAAGAACAAAGAGAAUGUAUAUACGCCUAAGUCUGCUGUAAAGAAUGAUGAGUGCUUUGUAUUUCCUGAGCCAAAGACUCCAGUUAAUAAGAACCAGCAUAAGAGAGAAAUACUCUCCACACCAAAUCAUUACACUACACCCUCAAAAGCCAGAAACCAGUGCCUGAAAGAAACUCCAGUUAAAAUGCCAAUAAAUUCAGCAGGAACAGAGAAGUUAAUGACAGGUGUCAUUAGCCCUGAGAGGCGAUGUCGCUCAGUGGAACUGGAUCUCAACCAAGCACAUGUAGAAGAUACUCCAAAAAGAAAAGGAACCAAAGUGUUUGGGAGCCUUGAAAGGGGAUUGGAUAAGGUUAUCACUGUGCUUACCAGGAGCAGAAGGAAGGGCUCUGCCAAAGAUGGGCCAAGAAGACUAAAGCUUCACUAUAAUGUGACUACAACCAAACUAGUGAAUCCAGAUCAACUCUUGAAUGAAAUAAUGUCUGUUCUUCCAAAGAAGCAUGUUGACUUUGUACAAAAGGGGAACCUUAACUACAGAAUACUUCUUUUGGCAUGUCUGAUGAUGACUGCUCAUUUUUAAGAGAUGAAGACCCCAAACACAUAACUAAGUAAGAGAAAGAAUGAUAUUUUGUAAAACCUCAAAUACAUAACAGAUACAAGUAAUUUCUCCACGCUUCUGUGGAACAGUAUCUAAUCACGUGCCCCACAUAUUUAGGGAACUGAUAUUUAAAAUUGAUCCUGUUGUCUAUUAUUUAGUAAGACAAAUAAAAUGAAAAUAUUUUGCAAACUAAUUAAAAAGUUGAUUUACAUGAAUUCAAUUUAUGUAACUUUGCAGGAACAUACCUGAUUCUUAAGUCUUAAGAUGUCUUUAAGACUUCAUUUGGCCUGGGCUUUUCCAUUUUCAGAAUUGUUAUAUGGCAGUUCUAAUUUUAUUUAUACACACACACACACACACACACACACACACACACACACACACACCAUGUGUUUCAACCAUGUAAAUGGACCAUCUCCAUGGGCUUUCUGUUAUAACUCUGCCAUAAAGUGUAAUGAUCAUAACCUCUUAUUACUAUUAGAAAAACCUCAGAAACACACACCCUUCUGACAGGUUGGUGGCUUCAGCUUUAUUUAUAUGAAAGAAUUUUCUGAUGAGGUGCACACAAAAAAAUAUUCUUAAUCUUCCCCGUGCUUUCCUUUGUUGUGAACAUUGUGGAAAUGGCCUACUGUUCAUGGAUUACACUGUUGAAAGAGUUGCAUAAGGAAGACCAGAAGAUUUCUUGAGCAUAAAUGGCAUUGGUAGCUAUGAAAAGAAGGCUUUUCUUUGGACAAGAGAAAGUUCUGGUAUACACUGAAGUGUCAAACACAGUCAGACUUUGGUAAAGUGACAAUGCAGUUUGAACUAGAAGUGUGCCAGCUUCAGAAACCCGACGUGGUGGGUA